rnacentral:rRNA from 1 species
CGCGUAGGCGGUUUGGUAAGUGUGAUGUGAAAGCCCCGGGCUCAACCUGGGAAUUGCCUCACAUACUGCCAGGCUAGAGUACGGUAGAGGGGGGUAGAAUUCCACGUGUAGCGGUGAAAUGCGUAGAGAUGUGGAGGAAUACCAGUGGCGAAGGCGGCCCCCUGGAUCGAUACUGACGCUGAGGUGCGAAAGCGUGGGGAGCAAACA